rnacentral:rRNA from 1 species
GUACACUGAUUUAUUUAAACGGCCGCGGUAUUCUGACCGUGCUAAGGUAGCGUAAUCAUUUGUCUCUUAAUUAGUGACCAGUAUGAAAGGCUGAACGAAACAAGGACUUUUUUUAACUUAUAUAAUUAAUUUGAUUUUUUAGUCAAAAAGCUAAAAUGAUCUAAAAAGACGAGAAGACCCUAAGAGUUUUAUAAGAGGUUUUUAUAAGACAAUUAUUAUUUAACUUUUUUAAAAAUAUCUUUUUUGGUUGGGGUGACAAUAAAAUAAAAAAAACUUUUAAAUAUUUUUACUAUUUUUUAGGCUUUAUUUGAUCCAUUUUUAAUGAUUAAAAGAAAAAAUUACCUUAGGGAUAACAGCGUUAUACUUAUUGAGAGUUCAAAUCGACAUAAGUGUUUGCGACCUCGAUGUUGGACUAAAACAACCUUAUAGCGCAGCAGCUAUGAGGGUGGGUCUGUUCGACCUUUAAUUUUUUACACGAUCUGAGUUCAGACCGGCGUGAGCCAGGUUG